rnacentral:sRNA from 1 species
UGUAGCAAAAGACGGGACAUACGAGGA